UACGUAGGGUGCGAGCGUUAAUCGGAAUUACUGGGCGUAAAGGGUGCGCAGGCGGUUAUUUAAGUCAGCUGUGAAAUCCCCGGGCUUAACCUGGGAAUGGCAGUUGAGACUGGAUAGCUGGAGUGUGUCAGAGGGGGGUCGAAUUCCACGUGUAGCAGUGAAAUGCGUAGAGAUGUGGAGGAACACCGAUGGCGAAGGCAGCCCCCUGGGAUAACACUGACGCUGAGGCACGAAAGCGUGGGGAGCAAACAGG
rnacentral:rRNA from 1 species